rnacentral:rRNA from 1 species
UACAGAGGCCUCAAGCGUUACCCGGAAUCACUGGGCGUAAAGGGUGUGUAGGUGGCAAUGUUAGUCUUUCGUGAAAGCUUUCCGGCUUAACCGGGAAAACGCGGGGGAAACGGCAUAGCUAAGAGGGUGUGAGAGGUGCACGGAACUCAUGGUGUAGGGGUGAAAUCCGUUGAUAUCAUGGGGAACACCAAAUGCGAAGGCAGUGCACUGGCACAUUUCUGACACUGAAACACGAAAGCGUGGGUAGCGAACGGG